GAGCCGUGCGGUGAAAACACAGCGGACUAUUCUUUCGCCUUUUACUAAAGAAUGCCGUGUACUCGUCGCUUAUGAGCGGCAUGCGCCUAUUUUUGGAGGGCCCCGCUGUUCCUGUGGUC